AAUCACCUCUAACAGAUGACCUAGUCUGUCUUAUAUUGUCCUUGCCGACAAUCACACAUUGUUUGAGGGGUGGUGGUGCAAGACCAUGAAAUAUUUUAUACAUUAAACACACAUCAGCAUAAAAUAAGAAACUGUCAAAUGUUAGUAAUUUUUGUUGUGCAAUACAGUUGCAAUGAUGAUAUCUCCUUGGCUUUUUAGCUAAAAUUUUAACAGUUUGUUUAUAUAAAACAUACAAUGGUUUUAAUGUUGUAAUGUUCGUAUGCGACCAGCUUGUAGCACAAUAAGAUAAAUGAGGUAAAAUCAUUGUAUUCAUAAAAAGUUUAGCAGCAGCCAUAGGUAACUGAUGCCUAAUGUUUCUAUAGAUCCUCAGGCUUGCUCUAGCACUUUUGGAAACCUUCUUAAUGUGUUUUUUUUUUUUUAUUUAAAUUGGAGUCAAUAAUUAUACCUAAAUAUUUAAAAUGAUCAACAAUAUUUAUUACUUCUCCAUUAACUAAAAUAUCUGAGCAAUGCUCCUCAUUUUUCUGAAUUGAAAAAAACAUCCCCACAGUUUUACUUACAUUGAGGGUAAGACAUGAACGAUAUAACCAAUCUGAAACCUUUUUGAGUGCAGCAGUUAGUUUUUUAGCAGCAUGUUCUUUGGUUUUAGCGUGAGUAUAUACUACCAUGUCGUCUGCAUACAUUUGAACCUGAACUUCUGGACACACUGUAGGCAGAUCAUUAAUGUAUAAACUAAACAAAAUUGGUCCAAGAAUUGAUCCUUGUGGAACUCCAAAAUUACAAUUGAUGUAUGGU
ensembl:processed_transcript